ACAGUAAAAUUUCCAUUUCAUUUUUUAAGCUUCUAUUUUUUUCAUUUUUAGGGAAGGUAUGUUCAUUCAGACACAUUAGAAAAUUCAGAUUAAAAGCAAGAGGAAAACUGGCCAAAAAAAAAAGGAAAAUGUUUUAUAUGUACAUGCAUUAAAACGAUCUGAAAGAAUGUACUCUUCAUGGAACCUCUCUGCAAAAUGAGACUCGAGACAAGGAGGGGAGGAGGCUGGAGAAGAAAAAAAGAAAACUGACUUGACAGAAGAGAGGUUAGAUAGCCUCCCUCACCUCUGAAACCACCAGGAAGAAUACCUGGAGAGGACUUGUUCCACCUAAUUGGUUGGGUUGGAAGAACUUCUACAGAGAGACAUUCACCAGGAUACUAAAGAGGAUAAAAUAUAUAUGGAAAUUACAAUAUGACAUGGAAAAGGUUUGUUUCCUGUUUGUGGAGCACCAGCUUCUGAGAUCACCC
rnacentral:lncRNA from 1 species